rnacentral:lncRNA from 1 species
AACAGAUUGUGCCGCAGCCAAAAAAAAAAAAAAGGGUGUCAUCUUCUUCAAAAUGGCAAAAAAAAACUAAAACCCGAAGCUUCGUCCAAACGACCACCUCCCUUCGUCGUUGCCUAGUCCUCACGAGCCAGCUCCUGACGACAACCAAACGAACCGCAUCUGAUUCUGCUUCGACAGCCCAGCGAGCAUCAACCCGUCGUCCAGUGCACCAUCGCUGCUCCUGCUUCAUCUGUCCGUCGACCACCUAAUAUCCAUCACAACCAAUCGUAAAACCAGCUCUAGGUAUGCGAAAAACAGUAGCUCAAACCCCGUCGUGCUUCGUCUUCCUCACGUGAAUCAGUCCGGCAACCCUCCAUUAAAACCAGCGACCUUCACUUUGUCUCAAAACAACCCGUCCUUGUCCUUAUCAAAUCUGUUCGAGGUUCGUUGCAGUCGAAUCUGAGUUCGAUGCGUCGUUCGAGUAUUCUGUCCGCAUUUUCUUCUCGAAUUUCAUUGCUGUUCAUUUCGAUUUUUGUCAUCGAACUUCACUCAUAGUUUGUAUUCAGGCAAAGCUAAUACAGGUUCGUGCUAUUCAGGUUCAUCUUUCUAUAUUUUUUUUUACUCUUGUUUGGUGCUGGUUUUACAUUCUAUAUAUAUAUAUAUAUAUUGUGUGUUAGGAUGAGUGACUUUGUUGCUCACAGUUCAUGGGGCCAAAACCGAAGACUAUAGUUUUUGGUAAUAUUGUUUUUUUUUUUGUUUUUUUUAUAUUUGUAUUUACAUUUUGUUGGAAAAGUGUUCAAUUUUAUAUGAAGUUUAUGGGGUGGUUAAGUUGAUUUUUAAGGCUUAUGUUAAUUGCUAUUACGUGAAUGGAUUCUCUGUUGCGUAGUUGAAUUUGUGAAAAAAAUUUUGCUUGUUAAAAUUGUGUUAUUGAAUCUGAAAAUUUUCAAGUGUGUUGUGUAUGGUGUUAAGGAUCAUAUUAAAUCUCUUGGGACACUAUUUGUUCAGAGAUAACAAGUCAUGCAGUUGUCGUGAUUACGGAUACAGUUCCAUAUUGUAGUUAUGAUUUGUAAUUCUCAAAAUUCAGGGGUGCAUUUCAUGUAACCCGAUUAUAACGACUCCGGUUAAUUUCAGUGAAUAAAUUAGUGUUUUUUUUAGAGACAAGUAAAGUAGAGAAUCAUAGUUGCUUCUAGGUUUGCCCUAUCAAAAAACACAUGAGGUGAGCCUCGUCGAUUAACACACAAAUUACGGGGCCCUCGUUAAUUAUAUAUAUUAAAAAUACUUAGACUUCAGGACGGGCCGUUUAGCAAAUUACAUGGCCUUACCCAAAAUAAUUAUACGCUAGUCGUUGUAGGCGCGCAUUUAAUAAUUUUACAUCCCUAAACUCGGGUGUGCAUUUCUUGCAACCCAAAUCCAAAUUCCAAAACAUCGACUCAGGUAUGUUCAUGAUUGCGGGUUCAUUUCAUGCGGCACAAUCCAAAGACAUAGUUCAGACGAUAUUCAAUCUUCUUUAAUAAUUUGAAUAAAAGCGGUUAAAAGUUAAAAUUGGCACAUAAGUUACACAUGCAAUAAAAUCGGUUAAAUAAGCUAAAUACGACAGUUGGGCGACCGUGCUAGAACCACGGAACUCGAGAAUGCCUAACACCUUCUCCCGAGUUAACAGAAUUCCUUAUCCGGAUUUCUGGUGCGCAGAAUGUUAAAUAGAGCCAUUCUUUUCCUUGAUUCGGGAUUAAAAUAGGUAACUUGGGACACCAUAAAUCUCCCAAGUGGCGACUCUGAAUCUUUAACAAAUAAUCCCGUUUCGAUUGUCCUUUAAUUGGAAAAAUUCCCUUGCGCCCUCGCGGGACGGCAAAAAGGAGAUAUGACAACUGUCUACUCACUCUGUGCUAAUACUAUAUGCUAUUUCUUCGUGGCAUAGCUUGGCCUCACAUUACUUGUGCACUUCAUUUAUAUCUAGAGUCCCUUCUGUGAUUGGUUUUCAAACUCGUGAUUGAUUUUCAAAACUUUUCCUUCAUGAAUUCUGAUUUUACUCGCUUGUUAAGGGGUAAUUAAUUCUCUCUCUUUGUUUGGCCUUACCAUAUCCUUUCCAAAAAUAAGUACAUUCCUGUACUUGGACUUAAUCACUUACUAUAUGGUUUUACUGCUUCUUUACAAUCAUUCUGCUUACAAAUUAAUGUUCUUUCCUUAUAUUAAUCCUGUUAGUAUCCAUUUGAGCUGUAAUCCUUUAAGUAAAGGGAAAUACGUUUGUUAAUUGAUUUUGAUUGUGAUUAUUUUCAUGUUUCUAUUAAAACCUUACUUGUUACCCUAUUCUCUACUCAUUUUCUAAAUUAUAACAACAUGUACCUCUUCUCUUUCAAAAACAAGUUCUAAUAGAACAAGUCACUACUUCUUCUCUCAAAUACACUUAGAAUUUCUUAAGCAUUCGAGUUUUCUGAACUCACAAGUUUAAAGUUCUCUUCUCUGAUUGUGGUUUGGCUGAAAGAAAUCCUGCAUUUUCUUUUCUUACUUUUCCUGCAACUGGUAUGUCUCUCUUUGUUUAAUUUCUGCCUCUCCACUACAUGUUUAUUUUUCAGCCUUUCCUUUGCUUGUUUUAUUGUUUCGAUGUUGUAAUUGGUGCAAGUUUACUUACUUCUUUAUCUCUGUGCUAACAUGAAUCCCUACCCCCCCAAUUUCCUUUGUAUCUUGAGUUAUGGUUAUGAAAGCAUGAUAAUACUUGACAUUGUUGCUUAUAUGUAUGACUGGACUCCCUAAGUGCUAAACACUUUUCAAUUCUCAUUCCCCUUCCCAUUUACAUGUAUUCUGAGUUUAAGACUAUGGUCUAGCAGUGUCCUAAUCAUUAUCUAGACCAUAGCUUGACCUUCAACAGGUCUGUGCUCAUAUUUUUUGGCUAAACAGGCUUGGUCAGGGGUGUGCCAGCCUACCUUAUGCCUAGGCAUGACCAUCAUCCUGUCUUGGCACUCCUUAACCCCUCUUUAUUGCACUGGAACUCACUCUUAGAACAUAACUUCUGGGCCCCUCUUGUGAGCCUUGCUUUGGGAUCCAUGAGCUGCCUCUAAACUUGGAUACUUGAAGGAUGGCUCUUCCACAAUGCACUAUAACUCAUUAUAAUUAACAUCUUGGGUGUAAGCACUGCCUGGAGUUCCUGAAACUCUUUGGAUCUCUGAAACACCCUAGAUAAGAGAAGGCUUUGAAAAUAUUUAUCUCGGAAGUGGUUCAAUCUCAUAUUUUUAGACACUAAGUCUGAAUUGGGCUUCUCGUAUGUAGCUGAUGGCUUUCAGAUGUACUUUUAAUUUCAGUUUAUGUUACUGGUUUGUAAUAAUUUGUAUAAACUCAUGGAGAUUUAGUGAAAGAAGGGAGGGGGUUAAUUGUACGCAAAAAGGGUAGAGACCAUGCCUACAGGAUUUAGUUUAUGAUAUGUGCAACUUCACACAUAGAAAGCAUAUCUAUUGGGAUUAACUUCUAAAUUUUCUGCGAUUAUGCUUGUAGAUAUCAUGCUUAUAAGAGUUUACAUUUUUCACAUAAUGGUGCCAUUAGGAAAACUGUAGACGUAACAACAAAGUUGCAUAUAGUUACCAUGUUUGUAAGACUCCUGUUAAAAGUGUUAAAAUCAGUUAACGCAUAGAAAGCAUGACUAUAGUAACUUCGAAUCUAAUCCGUCUCAUUUAUUCAAAAUAGUACCAACCAUUUAAAUUAAUAUUUACUUUGGUAAAACUGGCAGUCUUCUGCGUUUUUCUGAACCUCGUAAGUUAAUAAACCUUUUCUAAACAAAUGGCAUUUUUCUGAAAUUCACUCUUUUCUGAUAUGGUUCAUGGAACUCUUUUUUUCCAAUUAGUCUGCAUAUCUUCUGAAGUUCCUUUCUUUUCUUUUAAACCUUUUCAAAACAGUGUAUGCUUUUCUGAAGCUCACUGGUAACUUUUUAUAAUCGAUUUUCUUUUCGAAAUUGCUAGUCCUGUUCAACACAUUGAUAAAAGUGGGUUAAUUAAUCAAGUGGCCCAGUCUUUAACGAUUGCAUUCGAGCGAGCCUAAUGAGGACUUCCUGUCUAUAAACAUGUGUUGAACCAGUCUGCUUAUUGCUUUAGUUUUAAUGACCAAACCUGUACGUGCAAGACAUGCUAAACUCUAUGGCUUUAUCUGAUUUAAGGAGGCUUAUUUGAGCCCUACUUGUUUAUUUGAUUUCCCCUUCACUUGCAUUAUGUGUUUUGAUUGACGCCUUAGUAUUUUGUUCUUUGAAAAAUCUCAAAAGGCCCCAGAUCCCUUUCCGUUUAGGACUUGUAGUCCCAAGUGCCUCUGGACUGAUAGGAUCGGGACGGGUACUAGCAUGUAAUAAGUAAUUAAACUUUUCGGGCUUUAAUAACUUAACGGGGUGGGAAGGGUAGAAUAUGGAUAUGAUAACUGGUGCGAUAAUAUCACGUGCGACCCCUCUUCAGAGGGGUGAUUGCUGGAUAUUGUAUUGAUGUGAUCCAUAUUAUUUGUAAACCUAGGACCCCCUCUCCCCUUUACUUGUUAACAUUUUUAAGUUUUCUUUCAAACUAACUUUCUAUACUUUCUAUUCCUUUCUUUCUCAAACUUUUAAACUUGUUUGCAAUACUAUGUGAAAACCCUUUUCUUUAUUUGAGACUUCUACUUGCCCUCUUCGUUGCUUAAAGUCACAAUUGUAGCAUGGUCGGAAACCACACUAGUGGAUCUUGAGGGGUGUCUAACACCUUCCCCUCAAGAUAAUUUCUAGCCCUUACCCAAACUCUGGUCUUCAUCUCAAUUCUUUCUUAAUAGUGUCCUAAUGCACUAUAAUCAUUAGAUGGUGACUCUUCAAACUCCAAAACCCAAUUCUCGUAGGGGAAUGGAGUUGUCCUCCCAAAUGUCGUAUACCUGACUCCGAACUCCAUUUGGAAAAAAGGGCAUCGACAUCAGCUUCUUGAGUUCUGCGGCCAGGUUUCUGAUAAGAGAACUUUUGUCAUCAGAUUCAGGUGUGCUUGGAAUUAGUUGAGUAUAGUGUGGUAUGGUUUCUACAAAGAUGGGGGUAUUGUGGGGAUGAUCAUUUGUGUUUCUUAGUGGUUUAGGGAUAAGCAGUGGGGUAUUUUUGAAGUGUGGCAUGCGUUUCCAUGUUGAGUAUGAGCGGGUUGUUUUUGUGGUUUCUGGAUGUUCUGUGGAGGUGUAGGAUUUUGAGCAUUGGGGAAGUUGACAUCUGGGGUAGCGAGGGAAAAUGAUAAGUUUGCCAAGUUCCGAACUUGGUCCAGUUCUUCCUGAAAUUUCAACAGCUUCUGCUCAAGUUGGGCGGCACUUUCCUUGCUAACCUGAGUAACCUCUACCCGUUCACCUGAAUUUUCCUUUCUAAUGUUGUUCAAGUCCUCCAUUUUGCCCUGUUCUUAUUUCUUAUAGGACUCGGAGGAGGAGGAGGUGGAGGGCCCUUGGAUAUUGUGGAGUAUGAUGAUGAUGCUAGAGUGCACGAACUAACCUAUUGGAGAGGGGAAUAAAAAAAUAGAAAGUAAAAACAAAAGAUAACAAGUUGGUGCGGAUCAUGAGAAUAAAACAUUGCAAUAUUUAAAAACAUAGUGCAAGAAUAUAAAUCGUGCCCUAAUUUGGGAGCCUCUUUGUGCACGACGUAAGUCUAGCGACAAGUUAAUUUGGAGAACUUAUAAUGCUAAAUGCCACAUUUUAUUGAAAAAAAUAAGAGGAAUCCCAGAACGACACUAAAAACCACAGGAAAAUAGAAUAUCACUAAUGGCCAUUGGCCUUAUUAAAUUAAAAGCAAGAAGGAAAGACUCCUAACUACUUGGUCCCAGAAGGACCUUCUUCAGGUUGAAUGUUCUCGUUGAUCAAGUCCUCCAGCUCGUGCAGAUUUUGCAGCAAAAAUUCUACCGCCAAACGUUCUCCUUCGCCUUUGUCAGUAUUUUGACAGUCGGUGACUCUUUUCCUCACUUUCCCUUCCAAUUCCAACAGGCUGUAUUCCAGGUAUUCCAGAUUCUCACUAGCCUUGGUGACUCUCUAUUUUUACUCAUUGAUUUGGUUACUUAAUGGGAGGUUCCUCCACAAGGUCUGCAAGAGUGAAGGUAUAUUGACCACACCGCGGUCGGGAACUUUGUCGAUCAUUUUUGCAAAACAAAAGGAUGAGGCCACACUUCUUCCAGAAUCGUCUAUUAAAUAUAAACAAUUAGCUUGAAAAGCAUUUAGUUCUCCAAAUAAAUGCACAGAACAUGGUAGCGUCCUUUUGGGUUUCAAGGAAACCCGGUGGACUUUGGACAAGGCUAUCUUAAAGAGUCAUUAUAUGGACAACAUAACUGACUCUGCUAAGUUUGACCAUAAUUCAUGCACAAUUGAACAGAGUAAGGUUUCUAUGAGGUAUUAAACUGGUACCCUUGAGUGGACAACUCAAGAGGGAAAGGCACUGAACUCUUGACUGAAUCGCAGAUCGACUGGUUUUACUGCAAAUACGCCUUUGCCAAAUUUAGGGGGUGAUAAUAUCAGACGGCACAACCACUCAUUAUAUGCUUUUCUAUGGUAUUUUGUUUGGCACGGGUGGAAUAUGAUGUUGAGGAUACAAUUACAAGAAUUAAACAAGCUGUCAUGUAUUUGCACAUUCGUAAAGCAAUGCUUGCAAUAAUUGCUCAUAAAUACAACAAUAUUGAAGGAAGCAGAUAAAAGAAAGCAAUAAACAAAGAAAACACAUAAAGAGCCAAGUCAGUUUUGUAGCAGAAGAAGAGAUAAAGACCGUAAGUAAAGGAAAUGAAGAAGCAAUAAAGUCACAAGUAACGUGCAAUGGUAAAAGCCUAAAGAACUCCCUAGCAGAGUCUCCAUGCUAUCGCGCCCCCUUUUUCUUGCGAAAUCGGGCUUGUGAUAUUUGGGAGGAUAACUCGUUCCCUUUUGGGAAUUGGGUUUUGGAAUUUUGAAGAGUCGCCACCUAAUGAUUAAAGUGCAUUAGGAUACUAAGAAGGGUUUGAGUUGAAGAACUACAGUUUGGGUAAGCGCUAGAAAUUAUCCCGAGGGGAAUGUGUUAGGCACCGCUCAAGAUCCACUAGUGUGUUUUCCCGUGAUGUUAUAAUUGUGACUUGGCAUAACAAGCAAGCAAAAGGGUUCAAAUAGAAGGUGUUUCCACAUAAUAUUGCAAGUAAAUUGAAUUUUGAGAAAAAUAAAGAGGGCAGAAAUUUUAAGAAAAUGGUCUAAACAAUUUUGAAAAUAGAUGAAAUCAAGUAAAAAGAGGUGGAGGUCCUAGGUUUAUGAUCAAUAUGGAUCACAUCAAUUCAAUACCCAGUAAUCACUCCUCAUGUGAGGGGCUACAUGAGGUAUUAGAGCACCGAUCAUUAAGGCUAGAAAUUAUCUCGAGGGGAAGUUGUUAGGCACCCUCAAGAUCCACUAGUGUGGUCUUGUCCAUGUUUUAAUUGUGACUUUACAAAUAAGCAAUUAAGGCUCAAAUAAAGGGAGUUCUCACAUAAUUUGUAAGUAAACGGAAAAUUCGAAGAAAAUAAGGAAAGCAGAAAUUUUGAGGAAAUAAUUUUAUACAAGUCUGAAAAUAAACACAAACAAGUAAAAGGAAGGGGUCCUAGGUUUAUGAACAAUAUGGAUAACAUCAAUGCAAUACCCAGUAAUCACUCCUCAAAAGAGGGGCUAUAUGAGGUAUUUUCGCAUCGGUCAUCAUAUCCAUAUCUACCCUUCCCACCCCAUUAAGGUAUUAAAGCGCGGAAUAGUAUCAUUACUUAUUGCAUGCUAUUACCCGUCCCAAUCUUAUCAGUCCCAGAGGCAUAUUGGACUACUAAUCCGAAAGGAGAGGGAAUUGGGGCUUUUGCAGUUUUAAAAGGAUAAAAUUCUAAAGCGACAUUAAAAACAUAUACAACAAGUAUUGGGAAAGCAAGUAAGCUGAUAUGACUCAAAUAAACCUCCUUAAAUCAAAGAAAAGAAUAUAGUUUAGCAUGUCUUACACGUAACGAUUAGGUCUGAAUUAAACUUAAUUAUUAAGGCAGGCCGAUUUAUCAAAUAUUUUCAGAUAAGAAGUUCGAAUUAGGCCCUCGUGCUGGUUGUAAUUAUCAAUGACUGAUGCAGUUAUAGUUUUUACCCUAAAGCUUGCCUAGGUGUUAAACGAAACCUAUAGACAUGAUAUCUAUUAGCUUCAGAAAUAAAAAAGUAAAAUGGUUGCAAAAAACGAAUUGUCAAUUAUAGGGACAUAAGUUCUGCAGGAAUUAAACAUUAUUGCAACUGAUUUUAACUUAUAAGCGAGUUGACGAUUCAGGUUUGGCUGAUAGCUCCUAUAGGCAUGAUUUCUAGGCGUUACUGAUUUUAAUCACUAUUAUUGUCAUGCAAAAAUCCUAUAGGCAGGUCAUCUAUAUGUAGUUAGUUAUUUAAAU